CAAUAGCGUAUAUUAAAGUUGUUGCGGUUAAAAAGCUCGUCGUUGGAUUUCUGUUGAGGUCGAACAGUGCCGCCCUAUGGGUGCGCAACUGGCUCGGCUUCGGCAUCUUCUUGGAGAGCGCAUCUGCACUUAACUGUGUGGAUCGUACUUCAAGUCAGUUACUUUGAGGAAUUGUGAGUGUUUCAAGCAGGCUUACGCCGUUGAAUCCGUUAGCAUGGAAUAAUAGGUUAGGACCUCGGUUCUAUUUUGUUGGUUUUGAGAGCUGGGGCAGCGAUUGAUAGGGACGGAUGGGGGCGUCCGAACUUUACUGUCAGAGGUGAAAUUCUUAGAUCGGUCAAAGGCGAACUACUGCGAACGCAUUCGCCAAGAAUGUUUUCUUUAA
rnacentral:rRNA from 1 species